rnacentral:rRNA from 1 species
AGUGAACGCUGGCGGCAGGCCUAACACAUGCAAGUCGAACGGCAGCACAAUAAGAGCGCGCCCUUACGGUUAGCGAGUGACGGACGGGUGAGGAAUACAUCGGAAUCUACUUUGACGGGGGGGACAACGGAGGGAAGCUGACGCUAAUAGCGCAUACGACGUACGGGUGAAAGCAGGAGAGCUUCGGACCUUGCGCGAUUGAAUGAGCCGAUGUCGGAUUAGCUAGUUGGCGAGGUAAAGGCACACCAAGGCGACGAUCCGUAGCUGGUCUGAGAGGAUGAUCGGCCACACUGGAACUGAGACACGGUCCAGACUCCUACGGGAGGCAGCAGUGGGGAAUAUUCCACAAUGGGCGCAAGCCUGACCCAGCCAUGCCGCGUGAGUGAAGAAGGCCUUCGGGUCGUAAAGCCCUUUUAUUAGGGAAGAACAGAAGUGGAUUAAUCUCCGGCCAUUUUGACGGUACCUAAACAGUAAGCACCGGCUAACUUCGUG